UGCCGAUGAUGUAUUUUGAUGCACGCAUUAUCAGAUUACUGCAUGAUGAUAUGCAAAAAUUGUCACUACCUCUGAGGCA